rnacentral:rRNA from 1 species
UCGUCACUCUCUGGAAGCAAUGCACGAACAGUGCUAGUCUUGGUCCUUGUGGCCUUGACAAACCAUUUGCGAUCCUUUGUUAUUCCUACUUGAUAACGGAAAGAAUUACAACUAGUAGCGUUGGAUCCCUUGGCACGUCAUUCGAUGAAGACCGUUGCAAAAUGCGAUAAGUGGUGUGAUAUGCAAGUCCAAAACUUAUACGUGAACCAUCGAAUUGUUGAACGCACUGCAUCGAGCCUUACCCAGGAACGAUACGCCCCAUUGAGCGUCAUUAUCUCUUCGCGACUUGUCAUUUGCUUGACCUGUCCGGGUUCGGGAUUCAUGGCCUUUUGGCCACGUCUCCUCAGAUUCAUUGCUGCACUCUGGCUGAGUGGGUGACCUUGUCAUGAAUUGUCAGGGGAGGCCAGCGAGCUUUGAGAUGCAAGAUCCUCCCUUGGGGAAGGACCAGCACGGUGUCUAAGGCACCAGCUUCCAAUGCAUGACCUCACGGGGGUGGGACGACCCGCUAGACUUAAGCAUAUUAAUCAGCGGAGGAAAAGAAACUAACAAGGAUUCCCCCAGUAACUGCGAGUGAAGAGGGAUUAGCUCAAUGUG